GACGAACGCUGGCGGCGUGCUUAACACAUGCAAGUCGAACGGUGAAGCGCCUUCCUUUUUGGUGGGUGUGGAUGAGUGGCGAACGGGUGAGUAACACGUGAGUAACCUGCCCCCUUCUUCUGGAUAACCGCAUGCCAGUGUUGCUAAUACGGGAUAUUCUGGGUCUGUCGCUUGAUGGGUCUGGGAAAGAUUUUGUUUCGGUGGGGGAUGGGCUCGCGGCCUAUCAGCUUGUUGGUGGGGUGAUGGCCUACCAAGGCGGUGACGGGUAGCCGGCCUGAGAGGGUGGACGGUCACACUGGGGCGGCGACACGGCGCAGACUACUGCAGGAGGCAGCAGUGGGGAAUAUUGCACAAUGGGCGCAAGGCUGAUGCAGCGACGCCGCGUGAGGGAUGGAGGCCUGCGGGUUGUGAACCUCUUUCGCCAGUGAAGCAGGCCUGCCUCGUUUGUGGGUGGGUUGACGGUAGCUGGAGAAGAAGCGCCGGCUAACUACGUG
rnacentral:rRNA from 1 species